rnacentral:lncRNA from 10 species
AACACCUAAGGACUUUUAAACCUCAAAGAUGAGGGUGGGAACAACAGAGAAGAACCUAUUAUUGGGCCACCUAUCAAGCAAAAAGAAAAUACAGCAAUAGAUCACACUGGAUGCAUGGUGAACUGUGGCAGAUGGAGAAAUGGUUGGAAGCCAUGGGACGAAUGCCUAGAGUUUUGAAGGAAUGUAGGUAAGAUAUAGUAGGACCUGUUCCUAAGGAAGAGCUGAGGGGAGCAAAUAAAGUGAAGGGAGAUAAGCAUUUUUAAGAUGCAUAAAUUUCAGGGCAUGUUGGUGCUUGUGAAAAAUAGAAGGGAAGAAUUAAAGACAGUAAAUAUCCCUGAUGCUAAUUUGGGCUAAUCUGUAGAUUGU